GCCUGGGUGGCUCAGUCGGUUGAGCGUCCGACUUCGGCUCAGAUCAUGAUCUUGGAGUUUGUGAGCUCGAGCCUCGCGUCAGGCU
rnacentral:tRNA from 1 species